rnacentral:rRNA from 1 species
UACGUAGGGGGCAAGCGUUGUCCGGAUUUGUUGGGCGUAAAGAGCGUGUAGGCGGUUUGGUAGGUCCGCUGUGAAAACUCACAGCUCAACUGUGGGCGUGCGGGCGAUACGGGCAGACUAGAGUACUGCAGGGGAGACUGGAAUUCCUGGUGUAGCGGUGGAAUGCGCAGAUAUCAGGAGGAACACCGGUGGCGAAGGCGGGUCUCUGGGCAGUAACUGACGCUGAGGAGCGAAAGCGUGGGGAGCGAACAGG